rnacentral:rRNA from 1 species
CCUACGGGUGGCAGCAGUCGGGAAUAUUGCGCAAUGGGGGAAACUCUGAUGCAGCGACGCCGCGUGCAGGAGGAAGGUUUUCGGAUUGUAAACUUCUUUAGACAGGGAAUAGAAAAGACAGUACCUGAAGAAUAAGCCCCGGCUAACUACGUGCCAGCAGCCGCGGUAAUACGUAGGGGGCAAGCGUUAUCCGGAUUUAAUGGGUGUAAAGGGUGCGUAGACGGAAAAGCAAGUCAGCUGUGAAAGCCCAAGGCUUAACCAAGGGACUGCAUCUGAAACUACUUACCUAGAGUACUGGAGAGGAAAGAGGAAUUCCUAGUGUAGCGGUGAAAUGCGUAGAUAUUAGGAGGAACACCAGUGGCGAAGGCGACUUACUGGACAGAAACUGACGUUGAGGCACGAAAGUGUGGGGAGCAAACAGGAUUAGAUACCCCUGUAGUC